AUUCUCUCCAUGAAUCCCUCCAGAUACAUCUUCAUUUGACUAUUCUCAUUUCAGCAGCCUCUCCUGUGUAUGUUCAUAUCUCUUUACACAGGUCAGUCCUAUUCAUGGUGAAAGGGACCAACCACGUCAUGGUACGGAUAGCCAGGUGGCAACUGCUGUGGAUCAUCUUGGAGCUUGACCAUCACAAUAUGUUCCCACGGAUUGCUCUGGAUCUUGCUGUUCUCUCCAUGAAGAGUUCCAGUAGCUCUCCAUGCCCGUCUUGUUUGCUCUUUCAAUCUUGAAGUGUUGCCUCACCCCUGGACCUUCUGAGGAUAACAGCCCGAGCUUCUGUGACAAUCUGGAUGUCUCCCAGCUCUUAUUUGCUGAACUUUCAAAGUGGGAGGAAAAGAGGAUCUCAGUCUUUGAGCCCUACUUUAAGCAUCAACUCCUAAGGACAUCGAAUAGAUUUCAUGUAGAUCUGCUGUGUUUGCAGACUGUGGAUAUUUUGAACUCACUGCAUGCCCUGUAUAUCACUAGGUGCUCUUUCUCGACUGUCUUGUGGUCAUUAAUAUUUCAGUAGAAGAGAGCCUCAUUUCUCCCUCCCCUGUCUAUGGAAGAUUCCUCCUUUUGCAAUUGCAGCAGGGAUGGAAGCAAAAUUAAUUUACUUUCUCUGGUGAAGGACUUCUCACUUUUUUGAAAUUUAGUUCACUAGGCAUCUUCA